rnacentral:rRNA from 1 species
AAUGGGCGCAAGCCUGAUCCAGCCAUGCCGCGUGUGUGAUGAAGGCCCUAGGGUUGUAAAGCACUUUCAACGGUGAAGAUAAUGACGGUAACCGUAGAAGAAGCUCCGGCUAACUUCGUGCCAGCAGCCGCGGUAAUACGAAGGGAGCUAGCGUUGUUCGGAAUUACUGGGCGUAAAGCGCGCGUAGGCGGGUUAUUAAGUUAGGUGUGAAAUCCCAGGGCUCAACCCUGGAACUGCACUUAAUACUGGUAACCUAGAGUUCGAGAGAGGUGAGUGGAAUUCCGAGUGUAGAGGUGAAAUUCGUAGAUAUUCGGAGGAACACCAGUGGCGAAGGCGGCUCACUGGCUCGAUACUGACGCUGAGGUGCGAAAGCGUGGGGAGCGAACAGGAUU